rnacentral:rRNA from 1 species
UGUUUCUUGUAUUAAUAUAAGAAAUAGGAUCUGCCCAAUGAUUAUUUUAAUGGCCGCAGUAUCUUGACUGUGCGAAGGUAGCAUAAUCAAUUGUCUUUUAAUUGGGGUCUGGUAUGAAUGAUUUAAUGUAAAAUUGACUGUUUCUUUUAGAUUCUUGAAUUUUUAAGGUAGGUGAAGAUACUUAUAUGUGAAUAAUAGACGAGAAGACCCUAUAAAGUUUUAUAUAUUAAGUAGUAUUAUAGCACUAUUUGUUAAUAUUUUGUUGGGGCAAUUGUAGAAUAGGAAAAACUUCUAGUAAUUAAGAUAUUUGUGAGUAAAUUUUUCAUGAUCCAAGAAUUUGAUAGUCAGAGUUAAUUACUUUAGGGAUAACAGCGUAAUUUGUUUAUAGAGUUCUUAUCGAUGAAUAAGAUUGCGACCUCGAUGUUGGAUUAAGAUACCUUUAUGAUGCAGGAGUUUUAAGGGG